ACAGACUUAGCUGGUUCAUCUUCUGAAUACAUCUCUGUGGAGCUGACUGCUGGUUUUGUAUUCAGAGCCUCUGGUUUGGACAACUGUCCUUUCCUUGUUCUAUUUUAUAUUUUAAGACAUGUUUCUCUGCGGAGGGUCAAGGAACAGGCGGGUGUUGGAAAGAGAGAGAGAGAAAGAAAAGGAAGAAUUACACCAAGGAUUGAACACCCGACGAUGAACUAGGACUGGACUGGCGAACCUGAAUGGCACUUGGAUAAUUCCUUCUAUAUGAAAACUACCCCCGGUAAUGAACCCUGUCCCGAAACGAUGAAGAGACUGAAAGACCUCGGCCUGUUCGAUUGAUUGACUAUUUUGUUUGUUUUGUUCACGUUUGCAAAGAGCACUCCCAAAGUCCCUCAUCCUGUGCCAAAGCCUGUUAAAAAUAAACAGGUUUUAAGCUUUA